GAGGGUAUAGCUCAUGUGGCAGAGCGCAUGCUUAGCAUGCAUGAGGUCCUGGGUUCAAUCCUCAGUAACUCCA
rnacentral:tRNA from 1 species